rnacentral:rRNA from 1 species
CCUACGGGAGGCAGCAGUGGGGAAUAUUGGACAAUGGGGGAAACCCUGAUCCAGCGACGCCGCGUGAGUGAAGAAGUAUUUCGGUACGUAAAGCUCUAUCAGCAGGGAAGAAACUGACGGUACCUGACUAGGAAGCCACGGCUAACUACGUGCCAGCAGCCGCGGUAAUACGUCGGGAGCAAGCGUUAUCCGGCUUUACUGGGUGUAAAGGGGUCGUGGACGGGAGCGCAAGUCUGGAGGGAACUGCCGGGGCCCAACCCCGGAACUGCUCUGGAAACUGGGAAGCUGGAGGGCAGGAGAGGUAAGCGGAAUUCGUGGUGUAGCGGUGAAAUGCGUAGAUAUCAGGAAGAACACCGGCGGCGAAGGCGGCUUACUGGACUGUAACUGACGUUGAGGCUCGAAGGCGUGGGGAGCAAACAGGAUUAGAUACCCCAGUAGUC